rnacentral:rRNA from 1 species
GAGUUUGAUCCUGGCUCAGAGUGAACGUUGGCGGCGUGGAUUAGGCAUGCAAGUCGCGCGGAAAGGCCCCGCAAGGGGUACUCGAGCGGCGAAAGGGAUAGUAACACGUGGGUUACCUACCCCCGGGACUGGGAUAGCUGCGGGAAACUGCAGGUAAUACCGGAUAACGUCUUUGGACCAAAGGUGUGAUUCCGCCUGGGGAGGGGCCCGCGUCCUAUUAGCUAGUUGGCAGGGUAACGGCCUACCAAGGCAAAGAUGGGUAGGGGGUGUGAGAGCAUGACCCCCAUCACUGGGACUGAGACACUGCCCAGACACCUACGGGUGGCUGCAGUCGAGAAUCUUCGGCAAUGGGCGCAAGCCUGACCGAGCGACGCCGCGUGCGGGAUGAAGGCCCUCGGGUUGUAAACCGCUGUCAGAGGAUUGGAAAUGCUGGGGGGUUCUCCCUUCAGUUUGACUGAUCCUCAGAGGAAGUACGGGCUAAGUUCGUGCCAGCAGCCGCGGUAAGACGAACCGUACGAACGUUACUCGGAAUCACUGGGCUUAAAGGGUGCGUAGGCUGUCCGGUAAGUUGGGUGUGAAAGCCCUCGGCUCAACCGAGGAAUUGCGCCCAAAACUGUCGGACUUGAGGGAGACAGAGGUGAGCGGAACUUAGGGUGGAGCGGUGAAAUGCGUUGAUAUCCUAAGGAACACCAGUGGCGAAAGCGGCUCACUGGGUCUUUUCUGACGCUGAGGCACGAAAGCUAGGGGAGCGAACGGGAUUAGAUACCCCGGUAGUCCUAGCCGUAAACGAUGAGCACUAGAUCGAAGGG